rnacentral:rRNA from 1 species
ACCAGACUCCUACGGGAGGCAGCAGUGGGGAAUAUUGCACAAUGGGGGAAACCCUGAUGCAGCGACGCCGCGUGAGUGAAGAAGUAUUUCGGUAUGUAAAGCUCUAUCAGCAGGGAAGAUAAUGACGGUACCUGACUAAGAAGCCCCGGCUAACUACGUGCCAGCAGCCGCGGUAAUACGUAGGGGGCAAGCGUUAUCCGGAUUUACUGGGUGUAAAGGGUGCGCAGGUGGCAGGGCAAGUCAGAUGUGAAAGCCCGGGGCUCAACCCCGGUAUUGCAUUUGAAACUGUCCGGCUAGAGUGCAGGAGAGGUAAGCGGAAUUCCUAGUGUAGCGGUGAAAUGCGUAGAUAUUAGGAGGAACACCAGUGGCGAAGGCGGCUUACUGGACUGUAACUGACACUGAGGCACGAAAGCGUGGGGAGCAAACAGGAUUAGAUACCCUCGUAA